UCAAUGAACAAUGGUUUGAAGUGGCUGAACGUUCACGACAAUUGAUUACUGAAUGCCACGGAUUAAUGAGUUUUCUAGCGGAGGUCAUAUUAGAAGAGAGAAAUUUGGCUGAAGAUAUGGGAUUAUUAUUAUGCAAUCAUAUAUUAAAUGUUUUGCAAUCACCAGCUCUAAAUACCAUCACAUUUGUCUGUAUAUCACUGAAAGUAAGUACUUUGUUAUAAAAAAUUAUUGGAGAUAAAAUUUGUAAGAAAAAAAUAUUUACAGCGAGCAUGCAAAUACCUCGACGAAAAACGCCUUGAUAAUAUAGUUAUGCUAAAGGAAGUUAUUCACAGUCUUCUUAAGUAUAAUGCAGCAAAUGAUUCCAAUAAUUUAUCAUCCGAAAUUGAAGAUUUUGUAAGCUGGAUUUCUAAUUAUUGGAAAAUUGAUUUGUCGGAUAUUAAUAUUACACCAACUUCAACAACUGUUAAACUAUCUGCUCAAAGUGCAACAGUAUCCACUUCAACUUUAAGUAGUGCAACUGUCUCUGUACCACGUUCAACAACCAUAGAACUGCCUGCUCCACUUGGAUUAUCAUUUACUUCAAUUCCUACGAUUACAACUGUCUCCAUACCAACAUCAGCAACUGUCAUAUUAUCUGCUCAAAGUGCAACAGCGUCCACUUCAGCUUUAAGUAGUGCAACUACCUCUGUACCACGUUCAACAACCAUAGAACUGCCUGCUCCACUUGUAUUAGCAUCUACUUCAAUUCCUACGAUUACAACUGUCCCCAUACCAACAUCAGCAACUGUCACGUUAUCUGCUCGAAGUGCAACAGCAUCAACUUCAGCUUUAAGUAGUGCAACUAUCUCUGUACCACGUUCAACAAUCAUAGAAUUGCCUGCUCCACUUGAAUUAGCAUCUACUUUAACUCCUACUAUUACAACUGUCUCCAUACCAACAUCAACAACCGACAAACUAUCUGCUCAAAGUGCAACAGCAUCCACUUCAACUUUGAAAAUUACAACUGUUUCUAUACCAACCGCAACAACCACAACAAUAGUGACAACGACAUCAUCAUUAUUAUUUAAAAGAAAUUUCAAUUUAUUAAAUACAAGACAGAAAGUAGAUGAAAAUAAUAAUAAAAAGUACCUCAUAGCAAAAAAAAUUAACUCCGAUGAACAUUUCCUAAUACCUAUUAAAAUCUUACAAACUUCUACAACUAACAACUCCACAACAAAUAUAUCAGCACCAGAUGAAUUAAACAAAUCGAAAUUUGAUGUCAAUGAAAAGAAAAAAGUUCUUAAUGCUAUGCACAGUAACACAAUUGAUUUAAAUUAUCUUUCGACUCUUUCCUGUUCGUUCAUAGAAAAAAAAAGAAUUAAUUCUUUUAUCAUCGACAAAUCAAAAGUAAAACGAAAAAAAAGUUCUGCAGAUAAAGAAAAUUAACAGUGAAUAAAAUUGUUCUAUUGAGUUGAAGUAGAAAAACAAAUGAUACAGUUGUAAAUAUAUAUAAUGUAUGUUUGCAAUUCAAUAUUAAAUGUUUUAAUUAAAAAAAAAAAAAAAUGAACAAAGAAAAAAAAAAUGAAUUUUAGUAUGUCAUUUAUUCUUAAUAAGUAUUGGUUACUAACCAGAUAAUAUUAACAAGGAAGUUAUAAAUUUUUAAAGAUGUGGACUCGGGUGCAAGAGACAUGCUUGGUACAAGCAAGAUUAGUGCAAUAUGAGCAUCUUUUUCAGUCGAUAAGUUUUGAAUAUGUUAAUUUGUGGGAUGAAAAUGCUUGGGAGGAAUUGGCUGAAGAAACAAAUUUAAUUAACAGCAAAACUCCAUUCGAAUGCUUUAAGCAUUUCUGUCAACUGUUUCACGAGUUUAAGUAUCACAAAGGAGUUUCAAAAAGAGGAUAACCUCGUGAACAUUUUGUUUGGUACCCGGAAUUUAAUCAAUACUACCACACACUACAACGGCGUACGAUUGAUUACUUUGAACAAUUCAAGAAGUUCCCAUUUUUGAUUUAACUCAUCCACGCAUCUCACUACAUCUGGAAUUUACCAAAAAAAAAAACAAAAAAAUUAAAUAAAAAUAGUUGGUUACUUAGUGUUUUAUUGAUUCAC